CCUACGGGUGGCAGCAGUGAGGAAUAUUGGUCAAUGGGCGCGAGCCUGAACCAGCCAAGUCGCGUGAAGGAUGACUGCCCUACGUGUUGUAAACUUCUUUUAUCAAGGAAUAAAGUCAGGCACGUGUCCCUGUUUGUAUGUACUUUAUGAAUAAGGAUCGGCUAACCCCGUGCCAGCAGCCGCGGUAAUACGGAGGAUCCGAGCGUUAUCCGGAUUUAUUGGGUUUAAAGGGAGCGGAGAUGGGUUGUUAAGUCAGUGGUGAAAGUUUGCGGCUCAACCGUAAAAUUGCAAUUGAUACUGGCAGUCUUGAGUACAGUUGAGGUAGGCGGAAUGCGUGGUGUAGCGGUGAAAUGCUUAGAUAUCACGAAGAACUCCGAUUGCGAAGGCAGCUUACUAACCUGACACUGACAUUGAUGCACGAAAGUGUGGGUAUCGAACAGGAUUAGAUACCCCUGUAGUC
rnacentral:rRNA from 1 species